rnacentral:rRNA from 1 species
CCUACGAGGAGCAGCAGUGAGGAAUAUUGGUCAAUGGCCGAGAGGCUGAACCCGCCAAGUCGCGUGAGGGAAGACGGCCCUACGGGUUGUAAACCUCUUUUGUCGGGGAGCAAAGCGAGUCACUUGUGACUCAUUGAGAGUACCCGACGCAAAAGCAUCGGCUAACUCCGUGCCAGCAGCCGCGGUAAUACGGAGGAUGCGAGCGUUAUCCGGAUUUAUUGGGUUUAAAGGGAGCGUAGAUGGGUUGUUAAGUCAGUUGUGAAAGUUUGCGGCUCAACCGUAAAAGUGCAAUUGAUACUGGCAGUCGUGAGUACAGUUGAGGUAGGCGGAAUUCGUGGUGUAGCGGUGAAAUGCUUAGAUAUCACGAAGAACCCCGAUUGCGAAGGCAGCUUACUAAACUGUGACUGACAUUGAUGCUCGAAAGUGUGGGUAUCAAACAGGAUUAGAUACCCCAGUC